rnacentral:rRNA from 1 species
CAAGGACAAUGCCUAGUACGGCGAGUGAGCGGCACAGCUCAAUUUGAAAGCUGGCCUUCGGGUCCGCAUUGUAAUUUGUAGAGGAUGCUUUGGGUGAAACGCCAGUCUAAGUUCCUUGGAACAGGACGUCAUAGAGGGUGAGAAUCCCGUAUGUGACUGGAAAUGUUAACCUAUGUAAAGCUCCUUCGACGAGUCGAGUUGUUUGGGAAUGCAGCUCUAAAUGGGAGGUAAAUUUCUUCUAAAGCUAAAUAUUGGCGAGAGACCGAUAGCGCACAAGUAGAGUGAUCGAAAGAUGAAAAGCACUUUGGAAAGAGAGUUAAAAAGCACGUGAAAUUGUUGAAAGGGAAGCGCUUGCAAUCAGACUUGUUUAAACUGUUCGGCCGGUCUUCUGACCGGUUUACUCAGUUUGGACAGGCCAGCAUCAGUUUCGGCGGCCGGAUAAAGGCUCUGGGAAUGUGGCCUUCACUUCGGUGAAGGUGUUAUAGCCCAGGGUGUAAUACGGCCAGCCGGGACUGAGGUCCGCGCUUCGGCUAGGAUGCUGGCGUAAUGGUUGUAAGCGACCCGUCUUGAAACCACGGACCA